AGAGGGGAACGGCAGCAAGGGGCUGCUGGCCAGCUGCAUCCCCCCGUGCCUCUGCCUUCCCCUGUGUGUCAGGGCCAUGCGUGGGGGUCCCCUUGGGACCUGGUGGGGGGGCAUGGGACAGCACACAGCACAUCACCACAUCCUUCUGUCUCUCUGUCCCUCUGCAGCCAGAGCCGAAGGAGGAGAGGCACAAAGCUGCGGCAGGAGGCACAAAAGGGACUAAAACCCAGGCGAAGGUGAAAGGGAACGUUUCAGCUGCCCCGAGCAUCCCGGGAACAGUGGAGCCAGUAGCUGCUGAGGGGCAGCCAGAGCCUGUGGCCACCGUCCUCCCUCGUCCCCUGGCUGGGGACAGCAGCAGCAUGUUUGGAUGGUUUGUCCAGGGGCUGGAGAAGGUGAUGCCACAGCCUGUGAGCAGGGAGAAGCAGGACACGCAGGGAGCAGCAGCGGCAGCCUUCAGCCCCGUGGAAGAAAGGGGCAAAGGGGCUUAGCGCCUCUGAAACAAACGGAAAACGAAGUCUGUGGAGGGCCAGCCUUUCCCCACCAAAUGAGACCACCUCGCAGAGAAAGCACAGCGGGGGAGGAGAAAAAGCAAAGAGCAAUCUGCAAACGGUCCCUAGCCCCUUGCCAGCCAGGCUGCGGGGUGCGGGAACCCGAGGCCGUGUGUCCCCGCUCCCUGCAGCUGCCGGCAGCAGGACCUGGCCCUGGCCAGCCCUGAGCACCAGGGGAAGGUCAGCAUAGCUGCUGGAUGGGAGCAAUAAUUCAUGUGAGGACAGACAAACGCCUCUCAGGGCAUCUCCGAGGCAGAAAACCUCUCGCUGCAGCCUCCCACAGCACACCCAGCUCCCUCAACUCCCCUCCCACCCCCCAGCACGCCAAUAUUUACCACCGAGAUCUCUGGCUGAAGCCUGCAGACUUCUUUAAAUCUAUUUCUGUCUCAGUGGCAUCACUUUAUAAAGCCCUUUAAGCUUCAUAUUGCUUUUCUCCCAUUAACUGAGUGUUUUCUCCCAGAGGGUGGAGAGGGCUCUGUUUGGCAGCAGCGGAUGCAGGAGAACAACCUCCAGGAACCAGGCAGGAGCCAAAGGCCUCCUGGUGUGGAGGAGGGUGUCAGCUCACCAUGAGCAGCCCCUGCUUGCCCCCAGAGCCCAUCCAGUGCCGCACCAAGCACGGCAGCAGUGUCCCAGCAGGGAACGGUGCCCAAGGGCUGCCUCCAGCUCUGGGCUGGGGGCUUGGGGAAUGCGGGCACGCCGGGCUGGGGAGGGCAGGAGCCCCUAAAUGCCAGGUGUUUGGCACAGACCUUCCCAUUGCAUCCCUAGGUAGCCUUAGUGGUGAGUGGUGAGCCAAGCAACCCCGCUGAGCCCCAGCCCCUGUGUUUAUGACGAGCCCAGCUGGUAUCAGGAUAGGAUCUUAGUAUUUGCCCUGUUUUCAUAUCGUGUAUUAAAAAGUUGCAGCACGUUUCAAAAGCUGUCUCCGUGGUUCCUGUCCUUUGUUACAAUAACUAUAGCUGCAGGGAGAGCAGGCUAAAGGCAGACGAACACUGCUGGGUGAGGAGCUGGUUUGGGAGGCAUGGUGCAGAGCAGACAAUGCAGUGGGCCUCCUGCCUUUCUGUAUUUAAGUCUGUCCAUUUCCUAUUAGCUUCCCUGGGGACGUGUAAGCUCCCCUGAGUUUUGCCAUCAGUCAGACCUCACAUUAAACUGGUUUGGAACUACGUGGAUGCA
rnacentral:lncRNA from 1 species